UACAGAGGGUGCGAGCGUUAAUCGGAUUUACUGGGCGUAAAGGGUGCGUAGGCGGAUUGAUAAGUCGAAUGUAAAAGGCUUGGGCUCAACCUGAGUUUGUCAUUCGAAACUGUCAAUCUAGAGUAUUGUAGAGGAAAGCGGAAUUUCCGGUGUAGCGGUGAAAUGCGUAGAUAUCGGAAGGAACACCAGUGGCGAAGGCGGCUUUCUGGACAAAUACUGACGCUGAGGCACGAAAGCGUGGGGAGCGAACAGG
rnacentral:misc_RNA from 1 species